UACAGCAACCACGUUUUCUACAAUAAAACAAUUAACUUCUCUGCAUCUAUCUUUAUAGUUUAGUUUAUUAUAAUCGACUACACGUGCAAAUGAUUCAUAAGAAUUUUAAGAAAUUGCAGUAAAUAAAUAGUAACAGAAUAGCUCGCCAGGUGGCUUAAAAUCGCCGUAGCUGUUUGGAGCGGUCACAAGAUGGCCGAACAAAUAUUAAAUGAGAUAGACUCGCAAAUUUUAAUAUUUCGAAAAUAAUACUGAUUAUUCAGUGAAUAAUUAGAGAAGAGAGAAGUUGCUGAUUAAGCUUCGUUUUAAAUAUAUUGAAGCUGUUUUGAGUUUAAAUGUAGUGAAACGUAAAAAUUGUAAAAUUGCAGUUCUGAACAGUUCUGAACCCUCCAAAUUUUAGAAUGCCAAGACGACCAAAAAGUGAAAGGAACCGUAUCUCUAAUUGCGACCCUUGGAAAUAUAUUAGCAGCCGAAGUUUUCGUGACACCUUUAUUGGCUACGUUUGGCAGACUCAACAGUUGUAACUGAGCAAAUCGGUAACUGUUAUGUAGCAAGCUGGAUCUGCUGAACGACGAGUGACAUUGCAUUGGAACAAAAAGUCUCAUUGGUCAGUUUUGGCUAGCGAUAGGUAGCGUUAAUGAAAGACGCUACGAAACGUGAUGUCGAAACACCAAAUAUGUUCCAAAAGAGUGCUACUGUAAAGGGCGUUCGGCAGAAAAAUACUCGACAGCUCUGGAACUGUUGAGUCUGCUGAACACAGCCAUUAUUAGAAUAUCUGACCAGGCUGUUUGUUAAACCUGUCAUGGGCUUAAUGGGGUGUGUGGUGUGAUUCAUAUUGUGCCCUGGAAGUGGUUGAUGUAAUGGCAUUUCUUGUAUUUUAUGAGCUUUUAACUGUCUAGUAAACUGGAAAAUGGUCGAUUUUUAGCAUUGUUUUGAGAAAUAGUUCUGGAUUUUUGCACUUAAAUUUUACUCCAGUUUUGAGGGUCUUCAGAAUUCCAGAUAGGUGAAUUUGGUACUAUAUCUUCCAAAAGGUCACAUUUACACUAUUGGUACCUUUAUCUUUCUUUUACUUCUAUAGGCAUGGUUUAUGGCUUUGAUAAGGUUUUAUCUGUCUCAUUUGGAGCUUCAAUUUUAACAAUAUUUGAUAUAUAGUUUACAUUAGAACAUGAUUUUAUUUACAGAAAAAGUCUUUCUAACGAUUUUCUUACAAAUUUAAUACUUGAUUAUUUAAUUUUUAGUUGAUUAUGAUUAUCUCAUUUAAAACAUUAAAAAUAAUUCUGGAGAAACCAAAUUAUAUUGUGCCUGUAAUAUGAAGUGUAUUUCAAAUAAAAAGGACUGAAUGAUUAUAAAAAAACAGAAAUACUUUGUCAAAAUUUUAUUAUGUAUUACAAACAUAUGCACGUAACCUUUUCAUUUUUCUAUGCAGUCACAAUUUUUUACAAACACUUUUGGUACUGUGAAACAAGUUUCUUUAUAUCCUCUGCAUAAAAUUCUGCCAUCUGCAAUUUCAACCAGUCCAGCACUGCUGUUUAAGUGGCUUGCAUUUCAAAAAUUUGAAAUGCAAGCCACUUCUUUAAGUUCAGGAAGAGGUGAUAUUCACUGGGUGCAAGGUCAAGACUGUAAGGAAGGGUGAUUAAGCAGUUCUCAUUCAAAUCAUUGAAGCAUCUGAACAGUGGAGGCAGCAGUGUGAGAGCACAGGUUGUACAGGAGAAAAUUUUUUGAUCUCAGCAUUCUAACACACUGUUUCAGAAUGGCAUGUCUCAGUUUUAAAGUGUUUCAUAAUACUCCUUUGCUGUGAUUGUUGUUCCUGGUUUCAGGAAAUCCACCUAAAAGCAUACCUCUUUAGUUGCUGAAAACAGUUGUCAUAAUCUUGUAGGCAGAUCGAUGACUUUGAACUUUUUUGCCAUUGGUGAAUUUUAAUGAUGCCACUGCACGGAUUGUUGUUUGGACUCAGCAUUGCUGUGAGAAAUCCAACUUUCGUCACCAGUUCUCAAUGUGGGAAAAAAAAUUUUUGUUUUUCUCUCUCUGGUAAUGGUUCAAAAUGCAUGUGCAGCUGUCAUUGUGGUUUUUGUGAGAAUUUUCAGUACCCAUCUUGCACACAGUUUUCUGAUAUCCUAAGGUUUCAGUAACAAUUUGGAACAAUAUUGUCUGUGAUAUGUCUGAAAAGUUCAUGGCAAGAGCACUAGUUGUGAAGUGCCGAUUUUCUCAUGCUCUGGUAUUUACAUGUUUAACAAGGUUGUUGGUCUGAACACUAGGCCUACCACUCCACUCUUCAUCAUGAACAUUUAAAUGGCCUUUUUUAAACUCAUGAUACCAUUUUCUUACUUUUCUUCAUUCCUUGUUAUAGGCCCAUAAAUUUCAUACAAUUCACAGUGAA
rnacentral:lncRNA from 1 species